UGUUGAUGGUUGUGGUGAUGGUGGUGGUGGUUGUUGUUGUUGUUGUGGUGGUUGUGGUUGUGGUUGUGCUAGGCCCAGGUGGUGGAUGCUGCCUCGUUCCUGCUCGCCGCUCUCUCUGGACAGCUCCAGGUGGUGGACUCCUUCCUGAGCCACGGGGGAGACCCCAACACGUGUGAUCACCUCCGUCGCACCGCGCUGCACCGCGCCAGCUCCGCCGGCCACGCCCACGUGGUGACGUCACGCUGGGAGCGGGGGCGGAGCUCGAGAAGAAGGAUCUGCUUGACAACACUGCGGCUCACUGGGCGUGCCGUGGUGGUCACGUGACCACCCUCAAGCUCCUCAUCGACGCGGGAGCCAACAUUGACGCACGUGACAAGCUGAGGUGCACGCCCCUCCACGUGGCCACGAAGACGGGGAACGUCGCGUGCCUGGAGCACGUGAUCAGCUGGGGGGCUGACGUCAACGCUCGGGAUCUGGAAGGAGACACCCCUCUUCACGAUGCUCUGAGGGGAGGGCGACUUCGUGUGGCCAAGAUUCUCAUCCUGCAUGGAGCCAUCACCACGUGCAAGAACUGUGAUGGUAAAACCGCUGUUGAGCUUCUCACCAAGUGGCAGACUGACAGGAAGAUGGAAUUACUCACCAACCUCACCACCUCAAGAUAGCAGCCUCCUCACCACCACGCUCACCACUCACCUACUCACCACUCACCUACUC